AGUGAACGCUGGCGGUAGGCCUAACACAUGCAAGUCGAACGGCAGCACAGUAAGAGCUUGCUCUUACGGGUGGCGAGUGGCGGACGGGUGAGGAAUACAUCGGAAUCUACUUUUUCGUGGGGGAUAACGUAGGGAAACUUACGCUAAUACCGCAUACGACCUACGGGUGAAAGCAGGGGAUCUUCGGACCUUGCGCGAUUGAAUGAGCCGAUGUCGGAUUAGCUAGUUGGCGGGGUAAAGGCCCACCAAGGCGACGAUCCGUAGCUGGUCUGAGAGGAUGAUCAGCCACACUGGAACUGAGAAACGGUCCAGACUCCUACGGGAGGCAGCAGUGGGGAAUAUUGGACAAUGGGCGCAAGCCUGAUCCAGCCAUACCGCGUGGGUGAAGAAGGCCUUCGGGUUGUAAAGCCCUUUUGUUGGGAAAGAAAGGCAGCAGGUUAAUACCCCGCUGUUCUGACGGUACCCAAAGAAUAAGCACCGGCGAACUUCGU
rnacentral:rRNA from 1 species